AGCUCAAUCGGUAGAGCAUCUGACUGUUAAUCAGAGGGUCCUCGGUUCGAGCCCAAGAGGAGGA
rnacentral:tRNA from 1 species